rnacentral:rRNA from 1 species
CACGUAGGGUGCGAGCGUUGUCCGGAAUUAUUGGGCGUAAAGAGCUCGUAGGCGGUGUGUCGCGUCGGCCGUGAAAACCUGCAGCUUAACUGUGGGCUUGCGGUCGAUACGGGCAUCACUGGAGUUCGGCAGGGGAGACUGGAAUUCCUGGUGUAGCGGUGAAAUGCGCAGAUAUCAGGAGGAACCCCGGUGGCGAAGGCGGGUCUCUGGGCCGAUACUGACGCUGAGGAGCGAAAGCGUGGGGAGCGAACAGG